rnacentral:rRNA from 1 species
AGCGAACGCUGGCGGCAGGCCUAACACAUGCAAGUCGAACGGACCCUUCGGGGUUAGUGGCGGACGGGUGAGUAACACGUGGGAACGUGCCUUUAGGUUCGGAAUAGCUCCUGGAAACGGGUGGUAAUGCCGAAUGUGCCCUUCGGGGGAAAGAUUUAUCGCCUUUAGAGCGGCCCGCGUCUGAUUAGCUAGUUGGUGAGGUAACGGCUCACCAAGGCGACGAUCAGUAGCUGGUCUGAGAGGAUGACCAGCCACUCUGGGACUGAGACACGGCCCAGACUCCUACGGGAGGCAGCAGUGGGGAAUCUUGCGCAAUGGGCGAAAGCCUGACGCAGCCAUGCCGCGUGAAUGAUGAAGGUCUUAGGAUUGUAAAAUUCUUUCACCGGGGACGAUAAUGACGGUACCCGGAGAAGAAGCCCCGGCUAACUUCGUG